AAGUUGAAAAGAACUCUGGAGAGAGAGUCAAAAGACCGUGAAACCACUCAGAGUAUAAGCCAAUGGCGCUAGAAGGCAGCCGGUGGCACGGCGGUCCGGGCUUCGGUCCGUGUCGCCCGAAAUGCCUGGGAAUUGUGUAGUGGGGCGGGUAGCGAUGUGCUGCUCUCCCUUCAGCCGAGCCUGUGCAUGGACGUACACGCGUGGUGUUGUUCCGCUGCCAGGCCCGUCGCUGGACGAACCUGUCGAGGCAUCACACGGUUACUGCCCACCACAGCUCGUUGCUUGGUCACCCGCUGGGUCUGGGAAUGCAGAAGCUUCAUCCAGGGUCCGGGCUUGAAGGUGCUUGGAGGAACGACGAUUGAUCCCGUACGUUUGUCAAACGUGCGCGGACCCGUUCACGCCGCGCUCGCGCCAUCCUGGCUCUGACUGCGGACGUAGACGUGGUGUGAUCCAAACGGCGACGAUGCUGCAAUUGGCCAGACACGAGUAACCCUCAGCUCCUUCGCCAUGUGCCGGUGUCGGGGUACCUGCGGGCAGGCUGCCUGCGUCGCAUGCGAAGCAAACGCUCAGCCUGGGGGUUCGUCUGACUGGUGAUGCUCUAGCGACCAUCGGUCACGUCUCGAAACACGGGCCAAGGAGUAUAGCAUGUGUGCGAGUCUGAGGGUAUCUCUAAACCCGAGGGCGAAGUGAAAGCAAAGGUGUGGCGGCGCUUGCGCCGUCAGCCGUGUAAUGAUGGCUGCGAGUACCGAGCUGAUCCUGGGCCCCAAGUUGGGGGCAGGCGCAAGCUCCGGGCUCACGUUUUCGUUCGGCACGCUCCCUGAUGUGGGCUGGACGGUGAGCACCGCGGAGCACGCAUGCUAUGACCCGAAAGAUAGUGAACUAUGCCUGGCGAGGGUGAAGCCCCAGGAAACUGGGGUGGAGGCCCGUAGCCGUUGUGACGUGCAAAUCCAUGGCGUCAGUUGGGCAUAGGGGCGAAAGACCAAUCGAACUAUCUAGUAGCUGGUUCCCUCCGAA
rnacentral:rRNA from 1 species